rnacentral:rRNA from 1 species
GAUGAACGCUAGCGGGAGGCCUAACACAUGCAAGCCGAGCGGUAUUGUUUCUUCGGAAAUGAGAGAGCGGCGUACGGGUGCGUAACACGUGUGCAACCUGCCUUUAUCUGGGGGAUAGCCUUUCGAAAGGAAGAUUAAUACUCCAUAAUAUAUUGAACGGCAUCGUUUAAUAUUGAAAGCUCCGGCGGAUAGAGAUGGGCACGCGCAAGAUUAGCUAGUUGGUGAGGGAACGGCUCACCAAGGCGAUGAUCUUUAGGGGGCCUGAGAGGGUGAUCCCCCACACUGGUACUGAGACACGGACCAGACUCCUACGGGGGGCAGCAGUGAGGAAUAUUGGUCAAUGGGUGCAAGCCUGAACCAGCCAUCCCGCGUGGAGGACGACUGCCCUAUGGGUUGUAAACUUCUUUUGUAUAGGGAUAAACCUACCCUCGUGUGGGUAGCUGAAGGUACUAUACGAAUAAGCACCGGCUAACUCCGUGCCAGCCGCCGCAGUAA